GGACUACCGGGGUAUCUAAUCCUGUUUGCUACCCACGCUUUCGCGCCUCAACGUCAGUAUGAGUCCAGGAAGCCGCCUUCGCCACUGGUGUUCUUUCCGAUAUCUACGCAUUUCACCGCUACACCGGAAAUUCCACUUCCCUCUACUCUACUCUAGUCAUACAGUAUUAAAUGCCAUUCCCAGGUUAAGCCCGGGGAUUUCACACCUAACUUAUAUAACCGCCUACGCGCCCUUUACGCCCAGUAAUUCCGAUUAACGCUUGCACCCUCUGUAUUACCGCGGCUGCUGGCAC
rnacentral:rRNA from 1 species